CAUCUUUUUUAGGUAAUAAAAAUGAAAAGUAAUUUGGAACGAUUCCAGGUUACAAAGCUCUGCCCAUUCCAAGAAAAAAUUCGGAGACAGUAUUUAAGCACAAAUUUGGUGAGCCACAUAGAAGAGAUGCUGCAGACAGCCUACAACAAGCUCCACACGUGGCAGUCUCGGCGUCUAAUGAAGAAAACGUGAGGAGUCCAUGGCUGUCACAUGUGAUGUGAGAUCGAAGAGAAAUGUGACCUGCAGUGACUCUGGAAACCUGGCCUAGUAGACAUGCAGAUGACCACACAGAGUGACAAGAAACAUCUGCACUCUGCCGACUCCCAGAGCUGAUGCUAUUGUACUUGCACAUGGGGAGCUGACAAGAAGAAAGGGACUGAUUCAACUAAAUGCUGGGGAGGUAAAUUAAGGCAGAACCAAAAUGAGCUAGGUUGCUAAUAUAUAUAUAUGUAUGUAUGUAUGUGUACAUAUAUGUGUACAUAUAUAUAUUUUAAAAGACUGUUUACUGCAGUUACUCAGGAACUGCUUUUGAUUCACAUUAAGCUGCUUUCAGAAAUUUAAAAAUACUUUUUUAAAGGGUGCAUUGAUAAAAUCUGAGGUUUUUUUGUUUUGUGGUUUUUUUUUCUGUGUAAAUUGUUUUCCUAAGUUUAUGGCACAGGGUAGACCUAAAGUAUUUCUCCUCCUUCCUCCCCUUGGAUCCUCAAGUUUCUCUGACUUCUAGUUGUACCUUACAUCUGCAAGUUAAAAAGAGGGUGCUUUAAAUCAGAGGGAGACUGUUGCUCAGCCAUCCAGAAACAGUUGUAGUCAGAAGACAUCAUUGGUCCUGUGUUUCCUAGGGAAAUAAGAAUUGAUAAAUAUUGCACUGAAUGUUGGUGGUCUUGAGGCCCUAAAUAAUAAAGAGGGAACAUGUGAAAGCUGCGUGGGGUUUAUAUGCAGACUUUUGUCAGAAGACAAUAACGCUGCAUGUUUUUCUUUGAGUGCAAAUGUACAUUGCUAAGUUUUUUUUUAAAGAUGGCAUGUGCUUUGAAAGAAGAAAUUGCAUUUUUAAGAGUUUAAAAUCUUAUGAGUGAAAAAUAUAAGAAAUCUUACUUAUUUUCACCUCUUUAGAAGAAAUAAAAGAUGUUUCUCAUA